rnacentral:rRNA from 1 species
CAGUAGCCGCGGUAAUACAGAGGAUGGAAGCGUUAUCCGAAAUGAUUGGGCGUAAAGCGUCUGUAGGUGGCUUUUCAAGUCCGCCGUCAAAUCCCAGGGCUCAACCCUGGACAGGCGGUGGAAACUACCAAGCUGGAGUACGGUAGGGGCAGAGGGAAUUUCCAGUGGAGCGGUGAAAUGCGUUGAGAUCGAGAAGAACACCAACAGCGAAAGCACUCUGCUGGGACGACACUGACACUAAGAGACGAAAGCUAGGGGAGCAAAUGGGAUUAGAUACCCCUGUAGUCCCUGUCUCUUAUAC